rnacentral:rRNA from 1 species
AUUGAACGCUGGCGGCAUGCUUUACACAUGCAAGUCGAGCGGCAGCGCGGGGGCAACCCUGGCGGCGAGCGGCGAACGGGUGAGGAAACCAUCGGAACGUGCCCGAGAGUGGGGGGAUAACGCCGCGAAAGCGGCGCUAAUACCGCAUAUUCUCUGAGGAGGAAAGUGGGGGGACCGCAAGGCCUCACGCUCCCGGAGCGGCCGAUGUCGGAUUAGCUAGUUGGUGGGGUAAAGCUUACCAAGGCGACGAUCCGUAGCUGGUCUGAGAGGAUGAUCAGCCACACUGGGACUGAGACACGGCCCAGACUCCUACGGGAGGCAGCAGUGGGGAAUUUGGACAAUGGGGGCAACCCUGAUCCAGCCAUGCCGCGUGCGGGAAGAAGGCCUGGUGUAACGACUUAGUCGGAGAAAGGAC